rnacentral:ncRNA from 1 species
UAAAACACUAUGAGAAAGAAAGUAGAAAUAAAGAUUUCCAGCAGAGAGUCUCGGCAGCUGAAAAGAGACGGAGAGGAUUUAUUUUGAAAAUGGCUUUUGAGUGGAUCUUCUGACUAAUUAAGAAGGUACGGGAUGUUCCGUUAAACAACAAGAGUCUCCCAGCGAUGGGGUACUUAUCGAGGCAGUGGCUCGUGAGAACACUGCAUAAUUAAGGUGGUAACGUAUAUUUAUAUGCCCUUAGA